CUCAAUGUCAGGAGGACAGGGAAGGAAGAGGGUGAGGUCUACAGACCGAAAGAAUGAAAAUAUGUAGCUCUACACUCUCUACUAUACUGUAUACAGUACUAAGGAGAAGCUGCAGAGAGCAGGGUAGUGUAGCUUAAAGCAGCUUGUACCAACACCAAGAGUGCAGUGUAACCUACAUGAUGAAACUCCUAUCCCUCAGAGGAAAUCUGGGGGUUUACUUCUCUAAGUAAAUGCGAAACAACUAAAAACUCUCCAUGAGCUGUGUGUCUACUUCAGUGUCUUUCUAAGUAUGAAAGACUGCCUGAGAUAGAGUCAAAUAAUUCUUAAAAAUCUUGAUAAUCGAUUAUACAAACCUAUACACGGACGGAUGAAGGAGGAGCGGAUACAUGUUAUCUCCAGAAUAUCAAGGAUAUCUAGAUAUAUCUUAAACUUAUCCUACGUUUUAACCCAGCGGAAGGGGAUUUUUAAGUUUAAGAAAGACAAAUCCAUGAUAAAAAAAACCAAAAUUUUAAUAUUAAAUUGAUGGAGCCACGUUAUCAUCAUUCCUUUAGAUCUAUUAUUUUCGAAGCUUAAUGAUAUUGUUAUUGUAGCUCAGGAAAUAUUGAAGCUUAGAAAAUAUUGAAGCUUGGAAAAUACUUAAGCUUAGAAAAUAUUGGAGCAUAUAAAGUAUUGAAGCUUAGAAAAUAUUGGAGCCCAAAAGAUAUUGGAGCCUAAUGGAUAUUUGAGCUAAGAGUAUAUUGGAAAUCAAAAGAAAUUGAUGAAAAAGAAGAAACCGUACAGAAAGUGGAGGAAAAGAAAUUGAUGAAAAAGGAGAAACCGUAUAGAAAGUUGAGGAAAAGAAAUUGAUGAAAAAGAAGAAACCGUACAGAAAGUGGAGGAAAAGAAAUUGAUGAAAAAGGAGAAACCGUAUAGAAAGUGAAUGAUAAGAAAUUGAUGAAAAAGGAGAAACCGUAUAGAAAGUAUAGAAAGAAAAGAGAAAUCAAGUUUUAACAACAAAACAAGAUAUAUGAACACGAACUCCGAAACCCGUGAGAAAUAAUGUAAAAGAAGGAGAAACUAAGAGAAGAAAAGCUGUAGAGUAGAAAAAUAAGAGGACUGUUGAGGAAUUUAGCUGGGUCCAACCAACUUCAUAAUUUCCAAAAUGCCCAGGAUCGGAGAGAUGGUAACCUUCUUGGUUGGUCCCCCGGGGUACUCGGAGAGAAUGGACGCAAAUAUUUCUAAACUUUGUAAAGUUUCACCAGUCUUUAAUGCAAUGCUUCGGGUUAGUUACAGAACUUGUUAU